UCUCUUUGAUCACUGUCUUCUUUGUUUCUGAAAAUUUCCUUUAUUUUUGUCAUUUGAGUGACCCCAGAUGCUUUUGGAGAAUAAAAGACACCGAAAAUAAUCUAGGAGAUAAAGAAACUUAUUGUUUCUUUUCUAUUUCUACAAAGCAUGGUUAUGUGAUGAAUGAUCAUUUAAGUUGGAAUCUAGACAAGCAGGUGACACCCAAGACCAAGAUUACUCCGUUUAUCUUGCCAUGGAAGAAAUAAAUAAGAACUGGCAUAUUUUACCCAACAUUUAUCUUGUAGUUAAUAUUAGAUGUGGCCUACAAAAAUAUGUUCAGAAAACUGGUUUGGGUUUGGAAAAUCAGGAACUUAUUCCUAAUUACUACUGCACAAAUCAGAGACGAUAUUUAAUUGUACUUACAGCACCUGUAUGGGAAGUAUCUACACUAUUUGGAGCAUUCCUGUUCAUCUCCAGAAUUCCUGAACUUUACUGUGGAAAUUUUCAUCUCCUUCUGGGUGAUAAUGAACAAUUUCCUCAUCUUUACCAGAUAACUCCCAAGGACACAUCUCUACCACUAGCCAUGGUGUCCCUAAUGGUUCAUUUCAGAUGGAACUGGAUAGGAGCGAUGAUUACAAAUGAUGACCAUGGAAUUCAAAUCCUUUCUGAAUUUAGAGGAGAAAUGCAGAAAAACGAUUGUCUGUUUAUCAGUUGCAAUUAUUAUCCAAAAUGAUAAAAUCAUAGUCCUUAAAGAGUUCCAUAUGAAUUAUAAGAAAAUUUUAAUGUCAUCAGCAAAAGUUGUGAUAGCUCAUGGUGACAAAGACUCACCCAUAGUUUGCUCUCAUUGAGUGUGAAUUUUGAGGCAUUAGGAGAAUCUGGGUCAGUGUGUAACAAUUUGAUAUUAUCACAAUUCUAGGAGAUUUUAUGCUAUACUCCUCCUUUGGGAAUUUCAUUUCUUCAUACCAGCAACCUGAAAUAUCUAGUUUUAGACAAUUUAUACAAACAGUACACCACAAUUUAUUCAAACCACAGUAUUGAAUUUUCCUUUGUUAAAUUAUGGUGGACAUAUUUAGAUGUUCUUUGCCACCGUCUAAUUGUAAGAAGCUGAAAAUUGUCCAACCAAAGCUCUUUUUAAAUGGUUAUUCAUGACACCACUUGGAAUGACCAUGAGUAAUGCAUGCUAUAACAUAUACAAUGGUAUGUAUGCUGUGGCCCACUCACUCCAUGAGAUGCUUCUGCAAUAAGUAGACACAUGAUCAACGAAUACUGGGAAGGAAUUGGAAUUUGACUCUUGGAAG
rnacentral:lncRNA from 1 species